rnacentral:lncRNA from 1 species
AGAGAUAGGCCAGCUGCUGGUUCCACCCUAUUUCCUCCAAGAAGACUGAUGGGCACUGAAGAAACUUCAUCUUGAGUCAGCGACAAUGCUGGUCACUGAGCAACCCUGACCUUCACCUCAACUGCUACAAAGUACUCCAGACCUUGGACAAGAGGACAGUGGAAUCGACUUUUCCUGCAUUGCUUGGGCCAAUGGAUUCCUGUAAGUUCCAGGGAGCUGAACUGGAUCAAAACUGGUCUAAGAGGUGCCAGGGAGUUCCAUACAGCCUGGAUUUCAAUGAAACAACCAGCUAUCCCAGGACGUGGCAG